GUACUGCAGAAGAACCUGGUCCGCGCUGUACUGCAGCAGCUGAUUGCUGUGGUUGUGCUUGUCCUGCUGCUUGGCCACUAACCUGUUCUUCAGCCAUGUUCAUUGCUUGUGUUAUGGCAUUCAUAACAAUCAAUCCAAGUGGUAUCAGGUACAUCCACUGGCAUAAUAGGGAUAAAAAUCCAGUAAGAAUAUAUCAAAAUUUAAGCUUAUGAAACAAUUGUUCUUUUAUAGAAACUCACAUAUUUAGCCCAAAAUGACUUCUCAGGUGGCUUUACACCUUCCCCUUCUCCAGUCUCACCAACAAGAAUAUCCUCAGCAAAUACAGGUGUCCUGUGCAUUGAAUCUAAACUUGAGCAUUGGAUGCACCAAGAAUAUAAUAAUUCCAGUGUCAACUAAUUCUAGACGACAUUAAAUUAUUUUUUUAAAAUGGAAACAAAACUGAUUGUUAAAGUAAUGAAAACAGAUUACUGCUCUGAAUACACGGAAACAAAGAAAUAAUAUUAGCAGUCUGUUCGAGAAGUGUCGAGGGCCCAUUUGAUGACCUGCUGCUUUCUUAAAAUUAAAGUUACAAAAACCCCUCCCUCCUAUAGAUUUUUUCCUUUUGCUAUCAACUUUUUACCAAAAGAAGGUUGAAAACUUGCUUCUACUUUUAGAAUUUGGAUAAGAAUUCUAAUGUUUAUUCAAGAUUCUUCACUUUUCAAGAACACAUCCAUAUUGCAGCAGCAUCAGGGUAAGCUAAUAAGAUUAGGUUCGACACACGAAAUAGAAAGGUAAAUGUAAAAAUGCACUUACCUAGGAGCCUGCUCACCGCUCUUCAAAAACGUGAAGGAGUUGAAAGACCAUUUUGAAGGCUGAAGGAAAGACCAUGUGUUGAAUGUUAGUGAACAGAAGCAACAAGCCAAAUGAAAAAUACAGUUCAAGAACACUAAUUUUACAUCAUAAUAUAUAAUUAAUCAUCUACCUUAUUGUCUAUAAGCACCAGAUACUUUCAAGUUAAUACUUCUGAAUGGUAAGCUGUUUUACUCAGAUUAGUGUCAUGUCAUUGACUCAGAUGAUAACCAAGCAAUGAUCUAUAAUAUUAUGUAUAAUCAAGUCCGUAGUCAGCUCUCAUGCAUUUUCCAAAUGAACCUAGGAACAAGAACAUCUUUUGUGAAAAGCCAACCAAGCCCACUGCAAAAAGAUUGCUCCCAAGAUGGCUCUCCCAAUGCCUAGGAGGGUUUAACCUAUGUUGGACAUUUGGUGGUGUUUUUAGUGACAAUGUUUUCCAGAUUUUAGUUGGUCCAGCUCUUAAGAAGAUACCCAAAUACUUUGGAGCAACGCGGUUAAAGCUUUGGAAGCUGAGUUAUGGUUUGAACGAAACCUGAGUUUUCAUAAGACUUCCCCUUGAUCAGACCAAUUAAUUUUGUUCAGCUUAAAUGCGUCCUCAUGGUGUACACUUUCAAAAACUUAUGAAGAUUACUCUAUUUAAGAACUAAACUUGAAUAGGCGGGCAUUCAUUUUGUUAUGGUAUAUAUGUAAAUAUAGGAGCUCGUCAGUCUUUUGUCCUUUAUUGUAGUUUACUAGUUUUUAUUUAGGGUUCAAUGGUAUAACUAUACUAUAUAUAUUGAAUUCUAUUGUAUAGAGUGAACGUGUUAUUUCAUACUUCACUCUAACUACAACAUGCUAUCAGAGACAUAUAGGGAUUAGAACAUUCGUCAAUUUUGUUAUUCUUUAACAACUACAUUCCAUUAGGGUUUAAGUUUGGGCAACCAAGUUCGAGUGGCCGUUUGUUGACACUGCCCACCUUGGAAAGGGCGCCACUGUCAUCCGCCCCUAUCUGAGUUCGUAGCUCGUCGGAAGAAGUCGAAGGUGAGCUUCAUGCCUACCAGAAGAAGCUAACUCGUCCCCCACGCCCAGGCGUAUGGUAGCUCCAUUUUGUGCUCCAUCGACCAGGUUCACCUCACUUUGUAUUUUUCAGUUGGUCUGUGAAUUUGGUUCCUUCGAAAUCUAAUCAGGUGCUUUUAUUCUUAGGUUUGUUACUGUUUAGUUCCAAUUUGGGUUGUCAAUGGUUAGAUGCAUCUCAGAUCCUUGGUUUUCAGUCAGUUUGUGCCUUUGAUCUCAUUGAAAUCCAUUUGGGUGUGACGAUAACUGAUGAAAAUCUAAUUGUUUUUACGGGUUGUGGCUGUUUUGCUUGUUUUUGUGGCUGGUUUGCUUGUUUCUGUGGCUGAUUUUGCUCAUUUGGUUUGGUGAAACUUGUUGGUGUGGCUGUUACUAUGCUAUGGCCAAACAAGAUCCCAUAGUGAUGUCUAAUUUCGUUCAAUUGCCCGACUCAAUCUAUCCAUGGUCCGAAUAGUGUAUACUAAAUCUCAAAAGUACCAAAACUCGUCGAAAGCAUCUCCUUCAUCAUUAGCAUGUGUCCCCAUUACAACCAUUGCUAAUUUAUGUAACAUGAAUCAUUGUCUCCUUUCCUUCUCUACUCAUUGUCUCCUUUCCUUCUCUACACAAUGGGUCAUAGCCUCCAGUGCUCAUAUGACAGGUAAUCCCAAUUGUUGUUUAUUGGUUAAAUCACUCCUGACCUUAAUUGUUGUUUCAUUCUAUCUUGACUAUUGCUUGUUACAGAAUCUUGUAACAAAGAAAAUUACUGAUAAAGAAAUCAAUCUGGAUGACUUUACAGUUUUGAUCACCAACAAUUGAUAUCAACAACCGUUGCUUGUUCUGGAGUUGUUUUACCUUUUGAUGCCCAUUGUCGUCCUCGUCAUCAAUCUCUCUCACUCUUGAAAGCUUUGUCCUGAAGUUCAUAACUUGUCUUCAUUGAACUGUAACUCAUUUCAGCUUGCCAAAUUUCAUCGUCUUAGCUCUAGCCUCCAGCCCUCGAGUUCAU
rnacentral:lncRNA from 1 species